rnacentral:lncRNA from 1 species
GGGGGGCUGCGGAUUCACCCCUGUGGGAAAUGGCACCUCAUCAUGGUAGGGGCUCUUGUUCCCUUUCAGCUCCCGAUUCUCCUGAAGGGGACGUCCGAUGAUGAUGUCCCGUGUCCGGGCUACCUGUUUGAAGAGAUUGCUAAAAUCUCCCACGAGUCUCCGGGCAGCAGCCAGUGCCUGCUGGAGUACCUCCUGAGCCGCCUGCACAGCAGCUCCGGCCACGGGAAGCUCAAGGUGAGCCCCUGGGUGGUCAAGGGUCAGGCCUGAGGCCCGGCCCACGGUGGUGAGGAUGGAGGAGCAGACGAGCGGCCCAGGGUGGCAGGCAGCUCUGUGCCCUUGGGGUGCCCCCGGGCCCUGCCCUGGGUGUCCCGUGUCCGGCCUGCCCAGCACUGCUGACCGCCCCACUCCCCAGGUGCUGAAGAUCCUGCUCUAUCUGUGCAGCCACGGCUCCUCCUUCUUCCUGCUCAUCCUCAAACGCAACUCUGCCUUCAUCCAGGAAGCUGCAGGUACAGGGGCCGCGCACGCGCUCAGGAAGAGCCAGGGCUUUGGAGAAUG